GCUACUCAGGGCACACAGCCUAUGGAGCAGCCCUGAUCUGCAAGGAGCGGCAUCUCUGGCGCUGCUGUGCACAGCUGCUUCCAUGAAAGCUGCUGCCUAACACCACCAGCUCACCCUUGAAUCUUUGGGCAAAUCCAAGAACUCUCCCAGGCUAAGCCCCAGUCUUGGGGCUUGCCUGUCCUGCAUCAUCUGGCAACCAGCAAAGGGACAAGGACAGCGGAGAUGGUGGCAAUUGGCAGAGAGGCAAGACAGCAGAGACAGAGAGGCAGCAAUUGGUGAGAGACAAGAGACAGCAGUUGGCAAGACAGCAAGAGACGGUGAAGCAGUCUGUGAUUGAGGAUGUAAGAUCUGUAACACUGAGGAAGUACCAAUAAAGAGCUGCUAACACUACCGAGCUCUAACCCUAACCAGUGCCUCUUUUCACAGCCAUCAUCUUUCCCUGGCAGGUGGUGAAACUGAGUGGACAGCCAAGUGUCCAUAGUACAGCUGCCUCGUGUGGGACCCACUGCUCUAACGAGCCAGCCCCCGACACAGAAGCUGAGCACCCCCAAGCUGGGGAACCUAGAGAGACCUGCACCCGGGUCCCACGUGGAAGACUGGCUGGUGCCAUUUUGUCUUCUGUGGAUGGGUGAGAGUCCCCUUUGCACCCUCCCCCAGUAAUAUCAGGCACAAAGGAAGGGCACUACAACCACAACCAAUAUCAGUAAAGCUUUGGAAGACCUCUGCUACCUAUUUAAAAUAAUCAACACUCAGCCAGAAGAGAUUACCACAGUUCCAGAGACAAUGCUGGCACAAGGCUUCCAG
rnacentral:lncRNA from 1 species